CGUCUGUCGACUCGAGUCCUCCCGAAUGUCCAACAACCCUCGUUUUGGGCAGGUUUGCCUCGAUGUCUGCUUUGAAGAGCGUGUUGGCGAACAGUGGUGCUGGAACGCGGAGUGAACAAAUGGCAUGGAGAGCAUGUUCCAAGUACCUGGACACAGUGGACAGUGAGGACAUAAACAUGGAAAGCAAGCAAAAGAAGACACUCCAAACUCUGCUUCUGCUCAUCAUUCAGCACUGAAGUGAGAUUAUGAAGUCAUACCUGAAAGUCGGAUGGCUGCGAUGAACGCCAGUGUCUCUGAGAGAAGCUGAGGACCCAAGAUCACAGCUGCUUUUUUGAGCUGCAGGACGAGGUCGCGUAAUCCACUGAAGUCUCCGGUAAGAGCCGACUUAAUAUCACAAUUUUCCCAUCCAAAAACUUGCUGGUUGACGUAGAAAAACAUGUUCGCUUGACCACUUUGUGUUAAAGCUUCACAACAAGCAAAGAAACACCGGCUGUGUUUCGGUGCUAAAGGCAGCUGCAAUCCACCACUUUCCACCAACAGCAUUCUUAUUUGACGUCUCCAUUAUUAAAUGAACAAAUUGCAAAAGAUUCAGCAACACAGAUGUCCAAAAUACUGUUUAAUUGCGCGAUGAAAAGAGACGACUUUCAGCCGUAAGUGGUGCUGGGCUAAUAUGUCCCCUCCAACCAAUAACGUCACAAACACGCGUCAUCGUAAGCGUCAUCAUUUCGCGACAUUUUCAACAGGAAACUCCGCUGGAAAUUUAAAAUUGUAAUUUAGUAAACUAAAAAGGCCGUAUUGUUAUGUGUUGCAAUGUUAAGAUUUCAUCAUUGAUAUAUAAACUAUCAGACUGUGUGGUCGGUAGUAGUGCAAAAUUGCAUUUGUAUCCCAAAAAUAGUGCACUUUCUGAAACAAAUGUUUUUAUGCAAACAAAUGGUGACCUGUGAUUAAUCAUGAUUAAUCACAAUUCUGGAGUCUGAUUAAUCUGAUUAAAAAUAAUCAUUUGACAGUCCAUGUUUGAAGCCUUUUUUGUCCAAACUAUUUUUUAUGGUACGUCCAAGUCCAUGGUACUCACCCGGAAAAGGGUGGAGUGCCAUCUCUGGGUUGGGAAGGAGACCUCGCCACAUGUGGAGGAGUUCAAGUACAUCAUAGUCAUGUUCACGAGUGAGAUAAGAGUGGAUCGUGAGAUAGACAGAUCAGUGCAGCGUCUUCAGUAAUGCGGACCCUGUAUCGAUCUGUUGUGGUGAAGAAGGAGCUGAGCCGGAAGGAAAAGCUCUCAGUUUACCAGUCGACAAGAUCACGGGUACAAGUGGCCGUAAGGAGUUUCCAUCGCCUGGUGGCGGGGUUUUCCCUUAGAGAUUUUUCAAUUCGGGCUCCAGUACUCUGGAAUGCCCUCCCGGUAACAGUUCGAGAUUCCACCCCAGUAGAAGUCUCACCUUAAAACUCAUUUGUAUACUCUAUCCUUUAAAUAUACCUCCUUUUUAGACCAGUUGAUCUGCCGUUUCUUUUCUUUUUAUCCUAUGUCCCACUCUCCCUUGUGGAGGGGGUCCGGUCCGAUGGCCAUGGAUGACGUACUGGUUGUCCAGAGUCGGGACCCAGGAUGGACCGCUCGUCCAGAGUCGGGACCCACGAUGGACCGCUUGCCUGUGUAUCGGCUGGGGACAUCUCUGCGCUGCUGAUCCGCCUCCACUUGGGAUGGUUUCCUGCUGGCUCCGCUGUGGACGGGAUUCUUUCUGCUGUGUUGGAUCCGCUUUGGACUGGACUCUCGCGGCUGUGU